GAACGAUGCCAUUGCCGCCGCCGCCACCUAUGCCUCUCGGAAAUGGAGCUGCUCCACCACCUCCUCCACCUGGUGCAGCAAGAUCCUUACGCCCCAAGAAAGCACAGACUAAAUUGAAGAGAUCAAGUCAGAUGGGUAAUUUGUAUCGAGUGCUUAAGGGGAAGGUGGAAGGAGGAAAUCAACUUACUAAAUCACCUACUGGAAGAAAGGGUCCAGCUUCGAGCAGUGCUGGCGGAAAGCAGGGAAUGGCUGAUGCACUAGCAGAGAUUACAAAGAGGUACGUAUUGCUUUCUAAAGAAC
rnacentral:lncRNA from 1 species